AUUGAACGCUGGCGGCAGGCCUAACACAUGCAAGUCGAGCGGAUGAAGGGAGCUUGCUCCUGGAUUCAGCGGCGGACGGGUGAGUAAUGCCUAGGAAUCUGCCUGGUAGUGGGGGAUAACGUCCGGAAACGGGCGCUAAUACCGCAUACGUCCUGAGGGAGAAAGUGGGGGAUCUUCGGACCUCACGCUAUCAGAUGAGCCUAGGUCGGAUUAGCUAGUUGGUGGGGUAAAGGCCUACCAAGGCGACGAUCCGUAACUGGUCUGAGAGGAUGAUCAGUCACACUGGAACUGAGACACGGUCCAGACUCCUACGGGAGGCAGCAGUGGGGAAUAUUGGACAAUGGGCGAAAGCCUGAUCCAACCAUGCCGCGUGUGUGAAGAAGGUCUUCGGAUUGUAAAGCACUUUAAGUUGGGAGGAAGGGCAGUAAGUUAAUACCUUGCUGUUUUGACGUUACCAACAGAAUAAGCACCGGCUAACUUCGU
rnacentral:rRNA from 1 species